UCUGUCUCCAUCACAAUUCUGCCCCCCUCUUCUCAGACUGCUCAGUAGAAAAACCCAUCUCCAUUCCAGUUUUCUUCCUUCGAGUUCAGAGAGAAGAAGCUCAACCAAGAACAAAACCUUAGACUUCAACGGUCAGUAUGUACUCGAAGCCAUGCAUCAUAUCCCUCCAACUCCUUCCAUGGCUGCUGCAAGAGAAGAAUCUGAGAAUGUUAUGUUUGGUGCUUUGGAUAAUCUCUUUGCUAAUACAAAGAUUGAGCCUAAGGAUAUUGGUGUUCUUGUUGUGAAUUGCAGUUUGUUUAACCCAACUCCUUCACUUUCUGCAAUGAUUGUGAACAAGUACAAGCUUAGGGGUAACAUUAGAAGCUUCAAUUUGGGUGGUAUGGGUUGUAGUGCAGGAGUUAUAGCCAUUGAUCUUGCUAAGGACAUGCUUCAAGUUCAUAGGAACACUUAUGCUGUUGUUGUUAACACUGAGAACAUUAUUCAGAAUUGGUACUUUGGGAACAAGAAAUCUAUGCUGAUCCCAAAUUGUUUGUUCCGUGUUGGUGGUUCUGCUGUUUUGUUGUCCAACAAAGGCUCUGUUAAGAGAAGAGCAAAGUACAAGCUUGUUCAUGUUGUGAGGACUCAUAAGGGUGCUGAUGAUAAAGCUUUCAGGUGUGUGUAUCAAGAACACGAUGAUGAUGGCAAAACUGGUGUUUCUCUCUCAAAGGAUCUUAUGGCUAUUGCUGGUAGGGCUUUGAAGACUAACAUCACAACUUUGGGGCCUCUUGUUCUUCCAAUAAGUGAACAGCUUCUGUUCUUUGCUACUUUGGUUGAAGCUUCUGAAUGCAAAGUGAAGCCCUUAUAUACCUGAUUUCAAGCUUGCAUUUGAUCAUUUCUGCAUUCAUGCUGAUGGGAGAGCUGUGAUUAAUGAGCUUGAGAAGAAUCUUCAGCUUCUGCCUAUGCAUGUUGAGGAAGAAUGAGGAAGGGGAAUAGGGUGUAAACCUUAGACUUCGACGGUCAGUAUGUACUCGAAGCCAUGCAUCAUAUCCCUCCAACUCCUUCCAUGGCUGCUGCAAGAGAAGAAUCUGAGAAUGUUAUGUUUGGUGCUUUGGAUAAUCUCUUUGCUAAUACAAAGAUUAAGCCUAAG
rnacentral:lncRNA from 1 species